AUUUAAUUUCUGACUUGUUUUGUCUUAUGUUUCUUUGUUUAUUGCAGUAAUACAGUGACAAAGGCUCAGAGAGGCACCUUCACAGAGUCAACUACAACUACAACUUGUUCUCUGCAGCAGAUAGAGGAGAUGUUCUUAUUCCUUAACUAUGUGUUACUGGGCCUAAAGCAGCGUGACCUUGCAGAUAGAUAUGGGCUCCACAAGUCCACAGUCAGCAGCAGCAUCACAACAUGGAGCAACUUCCUCUAUACCAUCCUUGGGUGCAUGUUGAGCGCCUCAUUCUCAGAGUAAGGGAAGGAAGUUCUUCAACAGAAAGAGCCCACUCUGACUUCUUGACAACAUUAACCAACUAUAUGCUGUGGCAUGUCUCCUUACAAACUAUAAAAACUGACCUCUUGUAAAAGGAUGGGCAAAGAAACCUGUGUAGACCUUGAAACUGUACACAUUUAUUUAUGACCUUAAUGCAUCAUAAAGCAUGUAAUGCAUUUAUUGUGCUUAUUGCCCUUGUGUAGUUCUGUUUUAAACUCUAUUUAACUGUAAA